ensembl:lncRNA
AAAACCCAAAGUACAUCCAAAUAUAUGAACACUAUGGUGCUCAGGGUACUAUUCUUUGAAUUAGUUGUCUGUCCAUUUAGCAAAUAUAAAGAGUUAUUUUUUGUCAGAGAAAAAAACCCAGAGUUUCCUUUAAGUAACAUCUCUAUACUGCAUGUUGUUAUAAAUUAGUUUGAGUUAUGUACUUAUAUGAUAGUAACCCCUUAGUUACUAUUCUUUAGUAGUUUUUAGUCCACUGUUGAACACCCAUACUUUAUUUGCAGUUUCUGCCACUAUAUGCUUUUUUAAAAAUAUGUGAAAUGCAAUUAAUAACACAGAAAGAAAUACUUACCCCACAGUUCUAUUUCCAUAGGCAAGUCCAUUAUAAAACUCCAGCCUUGUCAAAGACAUAGUGAUGUUAGAAGUUGAGUGAAUGGAGCACAAGUUAUCUCCUCCACUAUAACUCAGCCACAGCUUUUAUGGUGUUGUCUAUUUAACCUCUUCAUCAAUGUCAAGUCUCCUCCAACAAAGAGACUUUCCAUUCCAUUAGCAUUAGAAAUAAUCAGGAUCAUCUUAUAGUAAGACUCAGUAGUGACCACCACCUAGUCCACGUCUGACUGCAUGGGCAUCCAGUAGUCUUGGGCUCUUGAUGUUCAGGGAGUUUUAAGACUUCUGCCCUGUUGUAGCCUAUCUUUAUGGGAAAACUGAGAAUAUAAUUUCUGUCUCCUGAAUAACAUGAGAUGCAACUGCACCCUCAGUUUCUCUUUGCCGCUUCCUUAAUCUGCCACACUGACAGGUUACAGAGUAUUUUCUGAAGGAUGUUUCUGAGUCAAGAUGAUUCACUUGUAUUAAUGAUGCUCAGUAUGCUAACUGUCAAAUGUUCUAAAAUAUUUAUUAACUAUUUCCUCACAGAAUAUAUACUGUGUUUCCCAGGUAAUUUCUAUGGAAUUUCUGUUUUACUAAAAUGCUCCUGCAAACAGAAUGCAAUGGUCCUGUAAACAGAAAAGAAAGUUAUGUGUACAAUAGCUAGAAAUUAGCAAUAAGAAAUUGUGCACCACAUUGCUUUAUAGACUUCAAUAUACCUUUUAACCUUCUUUUACUGGUAGGAUUAACUGCUUCACUUUCAAAGAGAAAAGAAGCUGGUUUAAUGGGCAGUUCUGAGACACUGGAAUACUUCUUACAGUUACAUUAGUAACCAUAAAAAGAAAGACUAAGAAAUAUUUAAAAAUCUUAGAAACAAAGUUCAUAUCAUCAAAACUUGGACUGUAUUAAAUGGGUAAGAAGCAGUCUUAAUCACUGAAAGCAAGGAAUGUUCCUCAGAAGACUUAAAAAGACUUUAAUUGGAUUCUUCCUGAUACUGCCUACAGAGAGGAAAAAUCAGAGCCUGAGAGAUGCUCACUGAGAAGACCUGAAUUAUUACAGCUAUGAAAAGAAGAAAACAUAUUAAAAAUAUUUUUUAAAAAAGAAAAAAAAAAGUACCAGAAACAUAGAGAAAGAGUCAGCAGUUAGGUGUGGAAGGAAAAAGAUAGUUUUGCUCACUGCUCAAAAUGUACAGAAUUAUGAUUUAAUUUCAAUUCAGGUGUAAAACAUUUCCCCAGAUUUAAAACUCUUCAUGAAAGCACACAGAGCUACCAAUAGUAAUGUCAGAGUCCUGAAAGCCCACAGCAUCAUCACAGUCCUGAAGACCAUAUCUUGGAGGCAGCAUGCUUGCUUGGCUGCUCAGAACAGGACUCUGGAAUUAGGGAUAGCAAAAGAAACCACAUUCCUGCCAGAAAAGAUGAUUUAUUGCAUGAAACCUGUCUGGUACUCACUGAACAGCUGAAAUUGGAAUCAAAUAGUUUAAUGGAAAUUUUUCAAACAACUACAAUCCGCUUUUCCUCCACUAUCUCUAACCGUGUUUCUGGCACUGUGCUAAGAAAUAAAUAGUAUUAAUUAGAUAUACAAGUUUUCAACAGGAAAAUUAAUAAAUCGGAAGACUAUAAUAUCCUAGUAACAUAUGACUAGGAAAGCGGAACAUAUCCGUGACUCAUGGGUUUCCUACUGCUGCACCAUGGUCCCCCCAGGAACACCUAGGAUCUGAUAGACCAUGUAAGAGAAGUUACCCAACCAGUUUACAAAAAUUCACUCCCUGAGAGCAACAGUGGGUGCUUCCGGCUUUCAGCCUUAUUUUCCCUAUCCCUCUCCUUUGUGGUCUGCUGAAACCUGAGAGAAAGAGACGUGGUAGUGGGCAGCAAAGGACGUUGGCAAUGAAGCAUUACCAGGCCUUACAGAGUAGUCAGUGAGGACGUAUUUAUCUUCAGCCUGACUCUCCUUGCAUUUCCUGUAUUAGCAAUAUAAAAAUCCACAGGGUGCAGAGGUUAGCACGUUAACUUUACUGUUAAGAAAGCAGAGAACUUUCACAGCUCCUUCUGGCUGUGUGUAUUUAAUCUCUUAUGAGAUUUUCCCACUUCUACUCUGGGAACUCUUGAAGACUAUUGUAUGAAGAACUUUUCUGUAUCUCUUAGUUUCUUUAAUAGACUAUUCCUGCAGCAUCAAAACUCUGGUUUAUGUCUUACCCAUUGAAAGAAAAACACAUUUGAAUUGAGCACAGAUCUUGCAGUCAGAUAUCUGGAUCAGAUAUGUAUUUUAUUAAUAGUCAGCACAGGACUGUAAGACUAUUUUAGAGGAUCAGUUCCUACCCAGAUAUAACAUUCCAGGUUCAGCACACAGCACUUUGCUUUUACAGAAGUGAACUCCCUGUUUGCGCCCAUAGAAGGCAAUUAACUCCCACUUUCCCCUCGUCAUACAUCAAAAGCACAGUGGUAGAUAGGAUCAGAGGAAGAAAGACAGGAGACAACUCAGUAGGGACAGAUGGACUUCACAUUGCAAACAAUUUCCCUGUCAGAGUGUGACAAUUUAGGGCUUUCCUACAGUUUCCAUGGUAGUGCAGCAACCACUGGAGCGAGGCAGCCAAAAAGGCCAGGCCAAGCGGAGACACAGCUCAAGCACAGGGAGAGGUGUGCCAGGACUGCUUCUCAAGGGGAGCCUCCAGAGGGGAUGAGCAAUGGGCAGUGCUGGGCUCCAGCCUGAACGACAGAGAGGUGCACCAGCUGUGAUCCAUCAUGCUGCAGUUAUCCUCCUUUCUUAGUCUCAGGGGAAUCUUGUUCAGGUCCCCCUUUUGCUUUUUUCUUUCCACUUUCUUCUUCCCACAUGCCAGCCCCAGAAUUGUAACCCAACUGGCUCUGUGGGGAUUGAUGCCAGCAGCAAAGAGCAGCCCUGUGCCCUGGACUCACUCCGUAUAGCCAGUACGGGCUUACUCACAAAGGUCAGACACAAGAUUAGCAACCUUCCAUUCAUCAUUGUGGAGGAGUUGUUUUGUUUAUCUCAUUUUGUUUGCAUGUGGAGAGAAGAGAGACAAAGGGUAGGAAUGAGUUGAUCUUUUCUCUUUUGGCAAAUUAAAUGGUGUUUGAAAACAAAACCUAAUUUGUGUCUUGUUAUCAAAAUCAGACAAUUGUUUCCCUGCCUGUGGUAGGCUAUGCUUAACUGUAUUUAUCUCAGAAUAAGAAUAUAGCUCCUGAAUUAAGAAAAUGAAAAUUCGAUAAGAUAUUAUAUGUUGAAUUAUGUGGAUCAUCCCAUGAUUAGCAAUAAAAUGCCACCUUUACUUUAUUUAAGUUGUUCCAAACCAAAAAAUCUGUGUCAUUGCCAAGGUAAGCAUUUUGUACUUUGAUUUAUCUGCAACCAGACUACACAGAGGCAGGAGCUGAGAUGACAAGCCCAAGUGAAUAGCCAGGUUUAUGGAAAAGCACAAGGACAUACCUUAAGACAAAUGAGAAGUGAGAUUCAGGGCACCUUCAUUCAUGCCUAAA